CCUUUUUUAGAUAACCACAUGAGUCAGAGUCACGUAUGUAUCUUUGAGACUAUAUAUAUGUGCAAAAACUAAGGUAACGCUGGUUUAUACUCCAUAAUUACUACAAGUAUGAACUUAUUAACUUAAUAGUUGCAUCAAACGGAGUUAAAUACCCACCCUUUAGUAUGAACUUAAAGAUCCCGUAUCUUCCUAGUUGUCCAGUUCCCCACAAAGUCUUUAAAUUUUAACUUUUGCCCAUAAAAGGCAGUGCUGUAUAUUUUCAUGGAUCCCCCAUUUCUCCUUUACUUCAAAUUCUAGUGGUGUUGUAUAAGUUAGUGGUCAAAUUUGCUAUUGUAAAAUGGCAGGAUGAGGGGAAAUGGGCUGUUGGUUGAUGUUUAGUUAAUGAUCAUGUGAAAUAAUACUUCAAAUUUUAUUGACGUUUAACAUUCUUUUCAGUAAAGUACUUUAAGGAGGUUUCAAAUUCACAUUCAAAUGUCUAUCAUGUCUAUAAAAUGAAGAAAAUUAACAUCUUUCUAGAAGGUUACCACUUCAACGCUUAAAUCAGUCAUUUAUUAAUGAAGAAAAUGACAUAGUAUCUUUCAAAUAUGAUGGCCCUCUCCUUGUAUGGACAUCACCCAUCUUUUAUUAGACAGGGAAAAGCCUAAUAAUAGCAUGUUCAUUAGUAGCUUCUUGUUGUAUACUUAUUAUUAUUUGAGAUUUAUCAUUUUGUACUUACAUUGUAUAUUAUUUUCUAUCAUAGGGUUUGUCAAUCUUAUAUUAUCUAUCUGAUCCUUCUUGUUCUAUAUGCAGGGUGCAUACAUUAAGAAUGGUAGUAAAGAUAAUUAUGCUCAUGGUGGUGGUAGUGAUGGUGGUUGUGGUCUUUGUGGUGGAAAGAUAAAGCAAGUUGCAUAAGGGAAACACAUUGAUAGUGACAUUGUUAUCGAUCUUGAUCUUAGUGGAAAGAUAAAGCUACGGAUGCAAAGCGUAAAGUACCGGAUAAAGGAUACAGUUUUGAUAUCCUAUGUGAAUUUCUACCUGAUGGGAUGCCCCUUGAGAAAUGGAAACGAAUGUGGCUGACAAACAAGCGGGUAAAACAGUUGGAUACAAGAAAGUAUUCUUACAGACCCACGCCACUAAGAAGUGCAAAAAGUGUUACAAGAUCAGGAGAUGAGCGAAAAUGAUUUUGAUUCAUUAGAGUUUGUUACCAACCGUGCAAAAUGUUCAUAUGCCGCGUACACGUUACAAGUAAAAAAGUUGUAUGGGGACAAGGAUUGCGAUGGUUUAGCCGUGUAGUCGAGUCUGCUUCUUGAGUGUAAGGGUCGUAAGAUAUUCGGCAUAGGAUCUUCUGAUCCUGUUUUUGUGGUGAUUAGAAAACCAUCUUCCAGAACUUGCGGGUCAUACGAUGAUACCCCGACAGUCGCAUGAGGUAUCAUUAUUGUUCUUGUUAUUUUAGAUAUGGUCAACAUUUUUAGGACAUACCUGUUAGUGAAGGUAAUAGUUUACGCCUAAUUGUUGAGAGACUAUUGAUUUUGAGGGAAUA